UUCCCCACACUGCUACCUCUCUUGCUCCCAUACUCUUUUAUCUCUUUUCUAACUUCAAAGGAAAAAAUGAAGCAAACAAGGACAACAGGAUGCAGAAGCUGUGUGCUAUACAUCAUCCAAGAGCAGAUGCUUGACUGCAGCUAUUUCUCACACGAAAGAUUUGAACAUUAA
rnacentral:lncRNA from 1 species